rnacentral:snRNA from 11 species
GGAUGUGAGGGUGAUCUGGCUGCGACAACUGUCACCCCAUUGAUUGCCAGGGUAGAUUUGACUGAUCUGGUUGGCUAGCCAGGUGUCCCCUUUCUCCCUCACCAUUCCAUGUGUGUCCCUCCCAAAGUUGUGCACUCAGUGGAAGAGGAUGACGUCCCAGGUAUAGAAGGAGUGUACCAAGGUCUCCAUAACUGUGCAGUGUUUCUACACUCUUGGGAUGCAUCUAAAGUGCUACAGUUUGACACAAAUUU